rnacentral:lncRNA from 1 species
GAAACACACACCUGCAGUCACAUUCCCUCCUUCAGAGCAGGUGGAGCAGGUCCAGCCUGUCCCUGAGAACACCUGAUUCCUUGACUGGUUCAUCUGUCACAACUUCACCUGCUGGAAGACUGGACACACACUCUGAAGACUCCUAGAGGGACAGAGCCAGAGGGACAGAGCCAGAGGGACGCAGACAGAGGGACAGAGACAGAGGGACGCAGACAGAGGGACACAGACAUGAACAAAAUCGCUGGAGUGAUUGGGGAGAAAGUGGGAGACAUGGUGGAGGGCGCCGUGAAGAACGCCCUGGGCUUCGACGACAAGAGCAAGAACAAGAACAAGACCAAGGAGAAAGGUGGAGGAAUCUUCUCGUUUGGAAAAGACAAGAAGAAAGAGGAGGAGAAGGACAAAGGAGGACUGUUCUCCUUUGGAGGCAACAAGAAGGACAAAGAUGGAGGAGGACUCUUCUCCAGAGGCGAAGACGACCACACAGACAAGCAGAAGAAGUCGGGCUUCGCAGGCCUGUUCGCUGAGGGACAGGCAGGCGGAGCUGACGGAGGCGGCGAGGGGGCGAUGAUGGGAGGAGGGGGAGAGGAAGCAUGCGCAGGAUUCCAGGGGCAGAGUGUAGCAGUGACGGGUGGAGACCUGCUGGAUGAUCUGAUGGAAGCGGCCGACGAGAUGUCGAAGGGAAACUAAGCCGAGCGGAGAUCCAUGAUCACUGAGCGCACUGAAGAAGAAUGUUGUUUAACUCUUUACGUCUGUCCUCCUGUCUGACAGCAGCUUCCUGUCCUGUCCUCCUGUCUGACAGCAGCUUCCUGUCCUGUCCUCCUGUCAGACAGCAGCUUCCUGUCUUCCUGUCUGACAGCAGCUUCCUGUCCUCCUGUCCUCCUGUCAGACAGCAGCUUCCUGUCCUCCUGUCCUCCUGUCCUCCUGUCAGACAGCAGCUUCCUGUCCUCCUGUCCUCCUGUCAGACAGCAGCUUCCUGUCCUCCUGUCCUCCUGUCUGACAGCAGCUUCCUGUCCUCCUGUCCUCCUGUCCUCCUGCCCUCCUGUCCUCCUGUCUGACAGCAGCUUCCUGUCCUGUCCUCCUGUCAGACAGCAGCUUCCUGUCUUCCUGUCUGACAGCAGCUUCCUGUCCUCCUGUCCUCCUGUCAGACAGCAGCUUCCUGUCCUCCUGUCCUCCUGUCCUCCUGUCAGACAGCAGCUUCCUGUGCUCUUGUCCUCCUGUCAGACAGCAGCUUCCUGUCCUCCUGUCCUCCUGUCUGACAGCAGCUUCCUGUCCUCCUGUCCUCCUGUCCUCCUGCCCUCCUGUCCUCCUGUCUGACAGCAGCUUCCUGUCCUCCUGUCCUCCUGCCCUCCUGUCUGACAGCAGCUUCCUGUCCUCCUGUCCUCCUGUCCUCCUGUCCUCCUGCCCUCCUGUCUGACAGAAGCUUCCUGUCCUCCUGUCCUCCUGUCUGACAGCAGCUUCCUGUCCUCCUGUCCUCCUGUCAGACAGCAGCUUCCUGUCCUCCUGUCCUCCUGUCAGACAGCAGCUUCCUGUCCUCCUGUCCUCCUGUCAGACAGCAGCUUCCUGUGCUCUUGUCCUCCUGUCAGACAGCAGCUUCCUGUCCUCCUGUCCUCCUGUCUGACAGCAGCUUCCUGUCCUCCUGUCCUCCUGCCCUCCUGUCCUCCUGUCUGACAGCAGCUUCCUGUCCUCCUGCCCUCCUGUCUGACAGCAGCUUCCUGUCCUCCUGUCCUCCUGUCCUCCUGUCCUCCUGCCCUCCUGUCUGACAGAAGCUUCCUGUCCUCCUGUCCUCCUGUCUGACAGCAGCUUCCUGUCCUCCUGUCCUCCUGUCCUCCUGCCCUCCUGUCCUCCUGUCUGACAGCAGCUUCCUGUCCUCCUGUCCUCCUGUCCUCCUGUCCUCCUGCCCUCCUGUCCUCCUGUCUGACAGAAGCUUCCUGUCCUCCUGUCCUCCUGUCUGACAGCAGCUUCCUGUCCUCCUGUCCUCCUGCCCUCCUGCCCUCCUGUCCUCCUGUCUGACAGCAGCUUCCUGUCCUCCUGUCAGACAGCAGCUUCCUGUCCUCCUGUCAGACAGCAGCUUCCUGUCCUCCUGUCCUCCUGUCAGACAGCAGCUUCCUGUCCUCCUGUCAGACAGCAGCUUCCUGUCCUCCUGUCAGACAGCAGCUUCCUGUCCUCCUGUCCUCCUGUCAGACAGCAGCUUCCUGUCCUCCUGUCCUCCUGUCCUCCUUCAUAUAGGGUACAGUAGAUAAAAUCCUUUGUAAAAUUCAUUCAAUGUUUAUGAUGAGUACAGUUCUUAAUAUUAAGAUGGUUAAAAUAUGUGCUGUAUAAAUAUGUACACGCUUUAAUAAAUAAAUAUAUUUCCUGUUAAGGAUCA